CACACUAUCGUUAAGUGAAUACAUAGCUUAACGAAGCGAACCGGGGGAACUGAAACAUCUAAGUACCCCGAGGAAAAGAAAUCAACCGAGAUUCCCCCAGUAGCGGCGAGCGAACGGGGAGGAGCCCAGAGUCUGAAUCAGCGCGUGUGUUAGUGGAACGGUCUGGAAAGUCCGGCGGUACAGGGUGAUAGCCCCGUACACUAAAAUGCACACGUUGUGAACUCGAAGAGUAGGGCGGGACACGUGGUAUCCUGUCUGAAUAUGGGGGGACCAUCCUCCAAGGCUAAAUACUCCUGACUGACCGAUAGUGAACCAGUACCGUGAGGGAAAGGCGAAAAGAACCCCGGCGAGGGGAGUGAAAAAGAACCUGAAACCGUGUACGUACAAGCAGUGGGAGCCU
rnacentral:rRNA from 1 species